GUGGGAGAAAAAUGGGCCUGGGAAAGAGCUCCUCCAAAUAAAACUUAUUAGACAGAUACGGGUUAUGGUGUUGGUGGUGGUGGUGGUGGUGUUUUGGUCUUUAUCCUGUUGUACAGCGCCUCAUUUUUUACAAUGUGGGCCAGUAACUAUUUCGUAUCACCUACUCUGACCACCUUCAGGGUUGUUAUGAGGCUCAAAGGAACGGCUGCUGUGAAAAAACAUGCUUUGCAAUUUAUGAAGCACUGGAUAAACAUCAGGAACGGUAUAAAAGCAUGCUGCUUACUCAAGAAAUACUAGUUGAGUGCCUGUGUGUUGGGCACUGGCUAGAGAUAAGGGUCUCCUAUGGACAGAAGUGCGGGCAAGGAGCUUUGUUCCUCCCCGAUGUCACCCUCCCACAGCCCACUUGCUAGCAGGCAAGAGAGGGGUGGAGGCCGGCAGUAAGGCAUGUACUGAACUGGACCUCUGGUGGAAUGGGUCACCCACGCUGGGCUUGACUCUUACCAUCAGGGUCCUGCCAACCCUUCAGUGAGACUUUUUCCGAAGAAUCCCUUUUAAAAUGACCUCAAGCUGACCUUCCUGAUGCAGAUUCCACAUAUGGUAUCUGAGACUCACACAGUGUGGUUGGAAGAUAGCACAGUGACCUCCCAGGCACAGCCCUCUGCCAGCCCUCCACUGGCUGCCCUAGGAUGCUGGCCUUCCUCCGAUGGGAGUCGGGCCCAGUCUGCUGUGAGCCAGGAGAAGCCAGCAAGCUCCCUGCGAGGCCUGGAGGAGCCCUUCUCACUCAGCUUGGUGUUCGAUGCCAGUGCCCCCGCCCAUUGUGGGGUGAGGGUGGGACUCUCAGCACAGCCCUGUCCAAA
rnacentral:lncRNA from 1 species